GAUGAACGCUGGCGGCGUGCCUAAUACAUGCAAGUCGAGCGAACGGACGAGAAGCUUGCUUUUCUGAUGUUAGCGGCGGACGGGUGAGUAACACGUGGAUAACCUACCUAUAAGACUGGGAUAACUUCGGGAAACCGGAGCUAAUACCGGAUAAUAUUUUGAACCGCAUGGUUCAAAAGUGAAAGACGGUCUUGCUGUCACUUAUAGAUGGAUCCGCGCUGCAUUAGCUUGUUGGUAAGGUAACGGCUUACCAAGGCAACGAUGCAUAGCCGACCUGAGAGGGUGAUCGGCCACACUGGAACUGAGACACGGUCCAGACUCCUACGGGAGGCAGCAGUAGGGAAUCUUCCGCAAUGGGCGAAAGCCUGACGGAGCAACGCCGCGUGAAUGAUGAAGGUCUUCGGAUCGUAAAACUCUGUUAUUAGGGAAGAACAUAUGUGUAAGUAACUGUGCACAUCUUGACGGUACCUAAUCAGAAAGCCACGGCUAACUACGUG
rnacentral:rRNA from 1 species